rnacentral:rRNA from 1 species
CUAAGCAUAUCAAUAAGCGGAGGAAAAGAAACCAACAGGGAUUGCCUCAGUAACGGCGAGUGAAGCGGCAACAGCUCAAAUUUGAAAUCUGGCCUCUUUGGGGUCCGAGUUGUAAUUUGUAGAGGAUGUUUCGGGCACCGCUCCGGUUUAAAUUUCUUGGAACAGAAUGUCAAAGAGGGUGAGAACCCCGUCUUGGACCGGCAGUAGGGCCCAUGUGAAACUCCUUCGACGAGUCGAGUUGUUUGGGAAUGCAGCUCAAAAUGGGUGGUAAAUUUCAUCUAAAGCUAAAUAUUGGCCAGAGACCGAUAGCGCACAAGUAGAGUGAUCGAAAGAUGAAAAGCACUUUGAAAAGAGAGUUAAACAGUACGUGAAAUUGUUGAAAGGGAAGCGCUUGCAACCAGACUUGCGCGCGGCGGUUCCCCCUUCCUUUUGGUUGGGUUAUUCCGCCGUGUCCAGGCCAACAUCGGUUCUGGGGGUCGGUUAAAGGCCUGGGGAAUGUAUCUACCCUUCGGGCGUAGACUUAUAGCCCCGGGUGUCAUGCGACCUCCCGGGACCGAGGAACGCGCUUCGGCUCGGAUGUUGGCGUAAUGGUUGUCAGCGACCCGUCUUGAAACACGGACCAAGGAGUCUAACAUCUAUGCGAGUGUUUGGGUGUCAAACCCGGAACGCGGAAUGAAAGUGAACGGAGGUAGGAAGCUUCGGCUGCACUAUCGACCGAUCCUGAUGUCUUCGGAUGGAUUUGAGUAAGAGCAUAGCUGUUGGGACCCGAAAGAUGGUGAACUAUGCCUGAAUAGGGUGAAGCCAGAGGAAACUCUGGUGGAGGCUCGCAGCGGUUCUGACGUGCAAAUCGAUCGUCAAAUUUGGGUAUA